AAUAAGUGGAGACCAGAACCCACUUUAAAAAACGGGGCACAUCCGAAAAGCCAUAUAAGCAGGAAAGAA
rfam:OM182 bacterium BACL3 MAG-120619-bin32 contig00780_1_120619-bin32, whole genome shotgun sequence.